UACGAAGGGGGCUAGCGUUGUUCGGAAUUACUGGGCGUAAAGCGCACGUAGGCGGGUCGUUAAGUCGGGGGUGAAAUCCUGGAGCUCAACUCCAGAACUGCCUUCGAUACUGGCGACCUUGAGUCUGGGAGAGGUGAGUGGAACUCCGAGUGUAGAGGUGAAAUUCGUAGAUAUUCGGAAGAACACCAGUGGCGAAAGGCGGCUGCACUGGCCCGGGUACUGACGCUGAGACGCGAAGGCGUGGGGAGCGAACGGGAUUG
rnacentral:rRNA from 1 species